rnacentral:rRNA from 1 species
AGAGUUUGAUCCUGGCUCAGGAUGAACGCUAGCGGCAGGCCUAAUACAUGCAAGUCGAACGGGAUCCACCAGCUUGCUGGUGGUGAGAGUGGCGCACGGGUGCGUAACGCGUGAGCAACCUACCCAUAUCAGGGGGAUAGCCCCUCGAAAGAGGGAUUAACACCGCAUAAGAUUAUAAGAUGGCAUCAUCAAGUAAUUAAAUAUUCAUAGGAUAUGGAUGGGCUCGCGUGACAUUAGCUAGUUGGUAGGGUAACGGCUUACCAAGGCGACGAUGUCUAGGGGCUCUGAGAGGAGAAUCCCCCACACUGGUACUGAGACACGGACCAGACUCCUACGGGAGGCAGCAGUAAGGAAUAUUGGUCAAUGGGCGAGAGCCUGAACCAGCCAUGCCGCGUGCAGGAGGACGGCCCUACGGGUUGUAAACUGCUUUUGCACGGGAACAAACCCCGGUACGUGUACCGGUUUGAGUGUACCGUGAGAAUAAGGAUCGGCUAACUCCGUGCCAGCAGCCGCGGUAAUACGGAGGAUCCAAGCGUUAUCCGGAUUUAUUGGGUUUAAAGGGUGCGUAGGCGGCGCGCUAAGUCAGUGGUGAAAGACGGUGGCUCAACCAUCGCAGUGCCGUUGAUACUGGCGCGCUUGAAUGCGGAUGAGGUAGGCGGAAUGUGGCAAGUAGCGGUGAAAAUGCAUAGAUAUGCC